AUCUAUAUAGUUUAAGUAAAACAUUACACUUUCACUGUAAAGAUAUUAUUAAUAAUUAUAGAUU
rnacentral:tRNA from 1 species